ACAAUGGAGAGUUUGAUCCUGGCUCAGGAUGAACGCUAGCGACAGGCCUAACACAUGCAAGUCGAGGGGUAUCAGGGACCUUGCUCCGCUGACGACCGGCGCACGGGUGAGUAACGCGUAUGCA
rnacentral:rRNA from 1 species